rnacentral:lncRNA from 10 species
CGCCGCGCCUGGCCCAGAGUAGUACACUCUUUCAGAAAGACAGAGAUGUUCCGUAUUCCCCUCAAAAGGCAUCUGUCCACAUCUCCCCUAGAACUUUGCUAGACUGAUUAUUUUUUCUCCUCCUCUUAUCUUUAACCAUUUGCUUUUCACUACUCCUCUGCCCACCAACAUACUUCUGUGCCAACCAUUCGAAAAACAAAACAAAAUACCCAUCCUCAGCACAACUACUUCCUCUGCCCAAAAGUCAUUUUUUAGUUGUCUUCACAUCAUUGUUUUACCAACGGCGGCUCAACCCACUGCUACCAUAGCCUUUCAGACCAACUUCUGAUCUUGUCAUCAACUUCUGACCUUAGAGAAGAUGGACAUAGCUAAUUCUGCCCCUUCUUUUGGAAACAUUUCCUGUUAUUCCACCUCUGACAGCUUUCAGCAUCUUUACUGAACUUGGCAUUGCCAAGUUUUCUGUUUUCUUCUCGCUGUAAAACUAUGGAUGAGAAAUAAUAUCCAGCUCCACACUGGCCAUUGAGAGGCUAGACAUUAGGGAAAAUAUUAUUUCUAGCCUCAAUUUAUCUUUAGAGCUCCAGCCUUCCAUUUUCAGUUGCUAUUGCUAAUAAUAACAAUAAGUAAUGUAUAUAUUGGUUACUCUGGGCCAGGCACUUUUCUAAGCACUUUAAAUAUAUUAACUAUUUCAUGAACAUUUCUAGUUGGUCAUUCCUUGAUCAUCUCAAAUUUCAUAUGACUUAAAGUGAACUUGUGAUUCCACAUUUCCCUUACCUCCUGGCUACUUUCCAAACCUGCCAUUUUUUCCUUCUCUUCAUCUUGGCUAAUAAUAUAACCAGAAUCAGCAGUUACCUGAUAAUCUUAAAGUUAUUUCUCCUUACAAUUAAUCCCUUUAUCUAAUGAUCACAAAUAAUAAGCUCUGAAAGAAAGCAAUUAUGUUCUAGGCACUGUGUUAUCUCAUUUAAUCUUCACAACCUAUGAAGUAGGUACUAUCAUUAUCUCCCAAUUAAUAGAUGAAAAAUGGGAGAUUCAGAGAGGUUAAGUAAUUUGCCCAAGGUCACAUGGCUUGAUAAAUGAGAAAAACUAGAUUCAAAACUAGGUUUGUAUGACUCUACAGUCUGUGCACAAAGUCCCGUUGAUUUUAUCUCGGAAAUGUUUGUCUCCUGAUCCCUUAUUUCCAUACCUGUUGCUAGUGCCAUAGUUUAAGAUCUCUAAUCAUCUUUCGCAAGCAAUACUACCAACCUCCUAAAUUUAUUUCUUUCCAGGAUCUUCCCUUCCAGUCCACCUUAUCUCAUCUUCAUAAAACAUACUGUUGGGUUUUUUGUUUCUCUGUUUUGAGACUCUGGGUGACUCUGUCACCCAAGCUUGAGUGCAAUGGUGUGAUCACGACUCACUGCAGCCUCGACCACCUUGACUGAAGAGAUUUCACCUUCGGCCCCUAAGUAGGUGGGACUACACUACAAGUGUGUGCCACUGCACUGGCUAAAAUCUUUAUUUUCUGUAGAGAAAGGGUCUCCCUAUGCCGCCCAGGCUGGUCUCGAACUCCUGGGCUCAAGGGAUCCUCCCGCCUCAGCCUCCAAAAGUGCUGGGAUUGCAGGCGUGAGCCACUGUACCCUGCCAAAGCAAACCUUUGAUGAUCCUUUGUUGCAAAAUAAAGAGCAAACUCUUUAUAAUGGCUUUACAAAAUUCCUUUACAAUUCAGUUUCUUGAUCCCAUUCCGUAUCUUGCUUUCCUUCUUUUUUUUUUUUUUUUUUUUUUUUUUGAGACAGGGUUCUCCCACCUCACCCUCCCAAAGUGCUGGGAUUACAGGUGUGAGCCACCAUGCCUAGCCAUGACUGGCUUCUUCUGUACAUUAAUCUUGCUGCCCUAUGGGAUAUUUCAGCUGUAGCAUACACAACCCACUAGCAACUUCCUCAUGUCUCUCAAUUAAAAACUCUUGCAAGACAAUGCAUCAUUUUGACCAAGUCCCAGAAGUUAUUGGUUUUCUUAGCCAGUUAGAUAGGCCCAACUUGGUUAGGUAGUUAACUCCGUUAGCUGUGACCAAUAUGAGCUAUGUCUGUUGGACAUCAUGGGUUUGCAGAGAUUUUUCUGAGGGAGGAGGGCAGAGGAUGGGCAGAGCAGACCUACAUUAUUACAGAAAGAUGGAACUAGGAUUCCAACCCAGGUCUUCUGACCCCCAGUCAAAUACUUCUUCCACUUGAAGAAGCAACCUAUUAAAAUUAAAAAAGUUAACAUGAAGCUCUUUUCACUUUUUCCAUUGAAAAGCUACUAGCAGGCUACACAUAUAUUACAAUCUGAAUUAAUAUACUAUGCAUACAUGUAAAUAUUGACUGAUUUCUUUAGUACCAAUAAGUUGGUAUUCUAGAUAGGUCUUCAUUAUUUGUCACAAAGAUAGCAAACUGUUCCUAUGAUGGUAUCAUUGAAGGAUUUUGUGAACACACUGAUUUUUAACCUUACUUGGCUUAGAUAAGUGGUAUACAGACCAAUCCAUAGUUUAAGCACAGGCAGGGAGAUAUGGCAACUCGGUUUUUUCCCCUACAUAGGCAUUAUUAACCUUGGGCAAAAGAAAGCCAAGUUUUCUAAGCAGGAAAGCAACAAAAGCAAAAUGAAACUUCUGAGUUAAAACCAUUUGCUGCUGUGGGCAUACAGAUGUGGGACAAAUGAAUUUUAAUAAGCCUUUAGAAUUAUUAAGACCCUUUAAGAAUAAAUUAAUUCAAAAUUAGGGAAUAUUAUUGGAAUAUGAGACAAGUGGGAAUUAACUUUUUUUUUUAAGAGACAGGGUCUCGCUAUGUUUCCCAGGCUGGAGUGCAGUAGCUAUCCACAGGUGUGAUUAUAACCUUGAACUCCCAGACUCCAGUGAUCUUCCUCUCAGCCUCCCAAAUAGCUGGGACACUGGCUAAUUUUAAUUAUGCAAAUACAUCUGUAUUCAACCUGGGGUCAGUACAACCAAUAGGACAAAUCGUGUCUUUCGUCAGUUGGAACAUAUUGCAGGUGCUCAGAAAUUCCAAGUAUUACACCCUAAAAUGAUAUUAUUUAGUGUAGAUUUUAAAUUUUUUUCUAUCAUAAAUCAUCUGACCCUAGAUGUUCACAUGUAUAGCACACGGUCAGGCGUAUACCCAGGAUUAUGCAUUUCAGGAAAUACAUAAGCGUGCAAGUUUGUGCAAGAAUUGUCUUCCUGAGUGGGUUCUAAUUAAAAUACAAAACGAAACUAAAUAUCCUCAUUUUUGAAACAAUUACUUAUAAUGUAUCUCAAAGGGAAUUCUUGAGACACCCUCUUCAAUAAAAAAUUAAAUUCGAAAAUGUAUACAAGAGCUUUGGGAGUUAAGAUGAAAACAAAGAUAUUUCGUGGGAGUUUUGAGACAAGAAGGAAUACAUUCAAAUACAAAAUAAACUAUCCUGAAUUUCUCCUGGAUUGCCAUUCUUGUAAAAUUUUAGAUAUUGCACAUUUUCAUAAUCUAACUCACGGCAGCCCCAACAUAAAACUAGUCCUCUGCGGGAAUUGCAACUAGAUUAGCGGCAACGGUUUGACGCGGAUCCGGGGGGAGGGCGGGAGCAAGGCAGGGAGAGAAGGAGCCACCUGCCCAGGACAUGCAGCUUAUCUCUAGAGAAACGGGUUUUGCAGCACAAAGUAGCCUGUGUCCGAUUCAUCUAUUUUCUGCCUUGUUCCUUCAAACGGAAACCUAACAAAGACCACGGGCAGCCAAGGGCCGCAGCCGGGGACCCAACCCUGGUCACCAAGCCCGCGGAGUGGCCGCACGCGGGGCGGCCGGGUCCCCCAAGCUGCGCGUCCCGAGCUAGCGAGAUCCCAGCCUGACAGGCGACGCCGGCAGCUCCCCGUCGCGACCGAACAGCGGCCCAGCACAGGCUGCCGAGGCCAGCGGACGGCCCAGCCGGCCCCUCGCGUGCUCUGGGCGCGCCGAGCCUCCACACUCACCAUCUCGAUGAUCUUGGUCUUCCGCCCCGUCUUCC